AACGAACGCUGGCGGCGUGGAUAAGACAUGCAAGUCGAACGAGAGAAUUGCUAGCUUGCUAAUAAUUCUCUAGUGGCGCACGGGUGAGUAACACGUGAGUAACCUGCCCCCGAGAGCGGGAUAGCCCUGGGAAACUGGGAUUAAUACCGCAUAGUAUCGAAAGAUUAAAGCAGCAAUGCGCUUGGGGAUGGGCUCGCGGCCUAUUAGUUAGUUGGUGAGGUAACGGCUCACCAAGGCGAUGACGGGUAGCCGGUCUGAGAGGAUGUCCGGCCACACUGGAACUGAGACACGGUCCAGACACCUACGGGUGGCAGCAGUCGAGAAUCAUUCACAAUGGGGGAAACCCUGAUGGUGCGACGCCGCGUGGGGGAAUGAAGGUCUUCGGAUUGUAAACCCCUGUCAUGUGGGAGCAAAUUAAAAAGAUAGUACCACAAGAGGAAGAGACGGCUAACUCUGUGCCAGCAGCCGCGGUAAUACAGAGGUCUCAAGCGUUGUUCGGAAUCACUGGGCGUAAAGCGUGCGUAGGCUGUUUCGUAAGUCGUGUGUGAAAGGCGCGGGCUCAACCCGCGGACGGCACAUGAUACUGCGAGACUAGAGUAAUGGAGGGGGAAUCGGAAUUCUCGGUGUAGCAGUGAAAUGCGUAGAUAUCGAGAGGAACACUCGUGGCGAAGGCGGGUUCCUGGACAUUAACUGACGCUGAGGCACGAAGGCCAGGGGAGCGAAAGGGAUUAGAUACCCCUGUAGUCCUGGCAGUAAACGGUGCACGCUUGGUGUGCGGGGAAUCGACCCCCUGCGUGCCGGAGCUAACGCGUUAAGCGUGCCGCCUGGGGAGUACGGUCGCAAGAUUAAAACUCAAAGAAAUUGACGGGGACCCGCACAAGCGGUGGAGUAUGUGGCUUAAUUCGAUGCAACGCGAUGAACCUUACCUGGGCUUGACAUGUAAUGAACAACAUGUGAAAGCAUGCGACUCUUCGGAGGCGUUACACAGGUGCUGCAUGGCCGUCGUCAGCUCGUGUCGUGAGAUGUUUGGUUAAGUCCAGCAACGAGCGCAACCCCUGUUGCCAGUUACCAGCACGUGAAGGUGGGGACUCUGGCGAGACUGCCCAGAUCAACUGGGAGGAAGGUGGGGACGACGUCAGGUCAGUAUGGCCCUUAUGCCCAGGGCUGCACACGUACUACAAUGCCCAGUACAGAGGGGGCCGAAGCCGCGAGGCGGAGGAAAUCCUAAAAACUGGGCCCAGUUCGGACUGUAGGCUGCAACCCGCCUACACGAAGCCGGAAUCGCUAGUAAUGGCGCAUCGGCUACGGCGCCGUGAAUACGUUCCCGGGUCUUGUACACACCGCCCGUCACAUCAUGGAAGCCGGUCGCACCCGAAGUAUCUGAAGCCAACCGCAAGGAGGCAGGGUCCUAAGGUGAGACUGGUAACUGGGAUG
rnacentral:rRNA from 1 species